rnacentral:rRNA from 1 species
CGAGCUGCUCAGUAACACGUGGACAACCUGCCCUUAGGUUGGGUAUAAACCCGGGAAACUGGGUAUAAUACCCGAUAGGUCUCGAUUGCUGGAAUGCAUCGAGAUUUAAAGCUCCGGCGCCUAAGGAUGGGUCUGCGGCCUAUCAGGUAGUAGUGGGUGUAGCGUACCUACUAACCUACGACGGGUACGGGUUGUGAGAGCAAGAGCCCGGAGAUGGAUUCUGAGACACGAAUCCAGGCCCUACGGGGUGCAGCAGGCGCGAAAACUUUACAAUGCUGGCAACAGCGAUAAGGGAACCUCGAGUGCCAGGUUACAAAUCUGGCUGUCGAGAUGCCUAAAAAGCAUUUCAUAGCAAGGGCCGGGCAAGACCGGUGCCAGCCGCCGCGGUAACACCGGCGGCUCGAGUGGUAACCGUUAUUAUUGGGUCUAAAGGGUCUGUAGCCGGCCGGAUAAGUCUCUUGAGAAAUCUGGCAGCUUAACUGUCAGGCUUCCAGGAGAUACUGUCUGGCUCGAGGCCGGGAGAGGUGAGAGGUACUUCAGGGGUAGGGGUGAAAUCUUGUAAUCCUUGAAGGACCACCAGUGGCGAAGGCGUCUCACCAGAACGGACCUGACGGCAAGGGACGAAAGCUAGGGGCACGAACCGGAUUAGAUACCCGGGUAGUCCUAGCCGUAAACGAUACUCGCUAGGUGUCGGCCACGGUGCGACCGUUGUCGGUGCCGUAGGGAAGCCGUG